rnacentral:misc_RNA from 1 species
AAGUCGUAACAAGGUUUCCGUAGGUGAACCUGCGGAAGGAUCAUUAGCGUAAUGAUGGACUCGGAAGAGUCGAUUCAUUUUACCGUGUGAACGAGAACGUGUCUGCGGCUGGAGGUGCGUAAAGGUGUGUGUGUGGUGUUGGGUGUGUGGAGAGUGGGUGGUGGUGGUGGUAUGUGGAGUGGUGUGUGGUUGUUGUAACUUGCCGUGCGUAUUGUGAGGUGACUUGCUGUGCGCGCAAUGAGAAAUGACACUACACUAUACUGCUACUGUGCUAUUACUACUGCUGGCUCCUUAUACCCUUUGCAGCAUAUGCCGCGCGCGCCGCCAGCAUGCAUUAAGAAACCAUAUUGACAAUCUAACUACCCUAUACAUAUAUAUAUAACCAAACACACAACUUUUAACAAUGGAUCUCUAGGCUCCU